rnacentral:rRNA from 1 species
UACAGAGGGGGCAAGCGUUGUUCGGAAUUACUGGGCGUAAAGGGCGCGUAGGCGGCCUUCUAAGUCAGACGUGAAAUCCCUCGGCUCAACCGGGGAACUGCGUCUGAGACUGGAAGGCUUGAAUCCGGGAGAGGGAUGUGGAAUUCCAGGUGUAGCGGUGAAAUGCGUAGAUAUCGGGAGGAACACCAAUUGCGAAGGCAGCUCGCUGGGACGUCACUGACGCUGAGACGCGAAAGCGUGGGAGCAAACAGG